UUGCUGGCACUCAGAUACGAAAUACAGAUGGCGCAAAUGCACCGCAAGGCCAAACACCGCCCCCAGUGUUAAUAAUUUAUUAACAAAUGUUGUGUCGGAGCCCAUGAGGGGAUGUUCACAUUUUCUAAUUCCCCCUCGGCUACGUGGAUUAUUUAGAAACUUGUUUAAUUUCCAGAGGGUUUGUCUUACUGCACCCCGGUCUACUUCCAUUCUGUGAGAGGACACACUUUGCCUGCUGUCAUCUAAGCUUGCUAAGGCCUCAUAUGCAGUCUGUCUCGCUGUACGGUUCUACGGGCGCUGGAGGGUAUGCACUCUGCUGCUGCCAGGUGGGGUUCUGUAACGGUAAUUCAAGCCAGCUAGCUGUGGGUGCUGCUCACUUGUGUUCUUUGCUGAUUUCCCAUGGCACAGUCCUGCCAUCGCGGAGAGAAGGACAUCUGGAGCUAGUGUUUUGAAUUUGGCUGUCUCUCCCAAUCCUGUCACUUUUUGCUUCAUGAAUUUUGAAGCUCCGGUGUUAGAUGGAAAUGCAUUUGGAGUUCUUACGUCUUCCUGGUGAACUGACCCCUUUGUGACAUGAGCUCAAAUAGAGAAAACCCUAAUGAAGCCUAAAAAAACAAAAACAGCCACUGGUAGCUUUGGGAUCCGCAAGGAGGGAAGGCCUACGCUUCCGGGAAUGGAGAGUCCCUACCUGUACUUCCAGGGAAGAAAAGUCCUUGUCAAGGUCCCUGCGGGUGCCUAAAGGUCAGCCAAUGAGGAUCAGACCCGCCUCAACCUUUAACCCCCAUGCCCUGAAUCUAUAAAAGGAGCUCUCCCAAACACUGACGCGCGACUUACCCGGCCCCACUCUGUUGGGACCGGGGAACCUUGCCCGGGAGCGGAACCCCAAUAAAAGCCUGUGAAUUAACUGAUUUGUCUGCCUGGGAAGAUUUGUUAUGUGCCGGUCACCUUGCAGCCACCACCACUAACAAAACCCCAAACUAUCAGAAGGAAUGAAUGAGUUCAGGGGCCAGUGUUGUGGCACAGAGGGUUAAGCCACGGCCUGUGACAGCGGCAUCCCAUUCGAAUUCUGGCAGGCCCACUUCCUGCUAAUGCGCCCGGGGAAAGCAGCAAAAGGUGACCUAUGUACUUGGACCCCUGCCAACGACAUGGGAGAGCAGGAUGGAAUUCCUGGCUCUGAGCUUUGGCCCAACCAGCAAGACCAUUUGGGGAGGGAAC